rnacentral:snoRNA from 1 species
GCAGCUGUGAUGAAUUUGCUAUAACGCAAAAAGAGUCAUUGUGAUCAGUUGUCUCUUUAAUGAAAUAUAUUAAGCUUGGCUUCUGAGUUUU